rnacentral:rRNA from 1 species
ACUCAAAACUCAAAGGACUUGACGGUGUCCCAAACCAACCUAGAGGAGCCUGUCCUAUAAUCGAUAACCCACGUUACACCCCACCCCCCCUCGAAAUCAGCCUGUAUACCGCCGUCUCUCAGUUCGCCUUAUGACAGACCCAAAGCGAACACAAUAGCCCAACACUAAUACGUCAGGUCAAGGUGCAGCCAAUGGGGGGGGCAGAGAUGGGCUACAUUUUCUACCACAACAGAACAUCACCAACCACCACAUGAAAUAUGAGUGACAAGGCGGAUUUAGCAGUAAGCCAGACA